CUGGCUCAGGAUGAACGCUGGCGGCGUGCUUAACACAUGCAAGUCGAACGGAGAUAAGCGCUGAUGAAGCUCGGCAGAAUCUUGCUAUCUAGUGGCGGACGGGUGAGUAACGCGUGGGUAACCUACCUGCAACAGGGGGAUAACGAUUGGAAACGAUCGCUAAUACCGCAUAACCCGCUAGAGUCGCAUGACUCAGACGGAAAAGAUUUAUCGGUUGCAGGUGGACCCGCGUCUGAUUAGCUAGUUGGUGGGGUAACGGCCUACCAAGGCGACGAUCAGUAGCCGAACUGAGAGGUUGACCGGCCACAUUGGGACUGAGACACGGCCCAAACUCCUACGGGAGGCAGCAGUGGGGAAUAUUGCACAAUGGGGGAAACCCUGAUGCAGCCGACGCCGCGUGAGUGAUGAAGUAUUUCGGUAUGUAAAGCUCUAUCAGCAGGGAAGAAAAUGACGGUACCUGACUAAGAAGCCCCGGCUAACUACGUGCCAGCAGCUGC
rnacentral:rRNA from 1 species